GUGAGGUCCAGCCUUCAAUCCCAAUCAUGACAAGCAAAAUAAAAGACAAGCAGGAGAAGAAGCUGAAGUCUGUAGAUGCUGAUACCCGUGAUCACCUUGCCAGCCAGUGCCUCAUGGGAUAUGAGUGCCCUGCAGGAAUGAAAAGAAUCCUUCAUCAAUAGCUUCCUGCCCCCAAAUAAGGAACCAUUGCUCUGUUCUCCUCAGCAAAUAACAUUGACAUGAAACUUACUGCCAUCUGCUUCCCAAAUGAAGGCUUCUGUUGGGACAACCUUCAAGACCAGGGGCUGAGCCCAGCAUACUCAAAGGCUGUGGAUUCAUCAUCAAGAACAAGAAACGGAUGGAGGACCACACAGAGAUACACAAUACCUAAAUGUCCCCACCAUGGUAUGACACAGCCAAGAAAUUUUUCCUAGAAGUUGUGUUAUGCUUUUUUGAUAGCCAGCCUCUGAAACGGUGAAAUAAUUAAAUGUUUUCUCUUUAUAAGUU
rnacentral:lncRNA from 1 species